rnacentral:rRNA from 1 species
UACGGAGGGGGCAAGCGUUGUUCGGAAUCACUGGGCGUAAAGGGCGCGUAGGCGGCUUGAUAAGCGUGCGGUGAAAGCCCGGGGCUCAACCCCGGGUCGGCCGUGCGAACUGUCGAGCUGGAGCACUGUAGAGGCAGGUGGAAUUCCGGGUGUAGCGGUGGAAUGCGUAGAGAUCCGGAAGAACACCGGUGGCGAAGGCGGCCUGCUGGGCAGUGGCUGACGCUGAGGCGCGACAGCGUGGGGAGCAAACAGG